GAUUCUGGCUCAGGAAUGAACGCUAGCUACAGGCUUAACACAUGCAAGUCGAGGGGCAGCGAGAAGGAAGCUUGCUUCUUGUCGGCGACCGGCGCACGGGUGAGUAACGCGUAUCCAACCUUCCCCUUAGUAGGGCAUAGCCCGUAGAAAGUGCGGAUUAAUACCCUAUGUUAUUCGUCGAGGACAUCUGAAGUGAAUCAAAGGUUUACCGCUAAGGGAUGGGGAUGCGUCUGAUUAGGCAGCAGGCGGGGUAACGGCCCACCUGGCCUACGAUCAGUAGGGGUUCUGAGAGGAAGGUCCCCCACAUUGGAACUGAGACACGGUCCAAACUCCUACGGGAGGCGGCAGUGAGGAAUAUUGGUCAAUGGGCGAGAGCCUGAACCAGCCAAGUAGCGUGCAGGAUGACGGCCCUAUGGGUUGUAAACUGCUUUUAUGCGGGGAUAAAAGUGAGGGACGUGUCCCUUAUUGUAGGUACCGCAUGAAUAAGGACCGGCUAAUUCCGUGCCAGCCGCGGC
rnacentral:rRNA from 1 species